GAUCAUGGCUCAGGAUGAACGCUAGCUACAGGCUUAACACAUGCAAGUCGAGGGGCAGCAUGGUCUUAGCUUGCUAAGGCCGAUGGCGACCGGCGCACGGGUGAGUAACACGUAUCCAACCUGCCGUCUACUCUUGGACAGCCUUCUGAGAGGAAGAUUAAUACAAGAUGGCAUCAUGAGUUCACAUGUUCACAUGAUUAAAGGUNUUCCGGGUAGACGAG
rnacentral:rRNA from 1 species